UAUACGCUUUACGGAAUGUUCACUAUGGUUUGUACUCCCGUGAAUCUAGGGAUAUCGUAUUUUCAUCUUGCUCAUAGCCAAUCGCGUGUAUUUCUUCACGUGAAAUGAAUGUGCGAAAAGUGAGAAAAAUCGACACAAAUAGACAAUCGAUCCCCUGUCUAUUAAUCUGUGGUGCAAACAAUCUUAUCGACUGUUGCAUGUUUUUCAUUUCUGGAAGUAAGGUGGCGUUACUGUAUGUUUCAUCAUUUUGAUGCAGGUGUUAUGUCUUGUCUUCACAAGAUGGCGGAACAAUGCCUUUUUUGAGCCAACUGAACUAUUAUUUUUCUUUUCGAUAUAAUAGAAAACUUAUUUCUACAUGCACAUGCACAUAUCAAAAUAAUGCUCAAAAUGCAAUCAGAAGCAAUUCAUCUUCUAAAAGCAAAUCCUUUGCGACGACUCUUUGUAUCGACGAGCAAUUGUGCUUGUCUUUUUAAAACGUUUCGGGAUGGGACUUCUUCUUCGUCUUCUGAAAGAGGAACAGCCGGAAUCGCGCAGGAUGGAAAUUGUGGAAACAAUGGCCUGCCACUAUUUACGCGCAUUGUUCUACCUUCUGCCGAAGUUGUAGCCACCGACAUUGUUUCCAACUAAAAGACAAAGGGAUUAUUUAUGGUCGAUCAUGUCAAUUUAAGAAUCCAUUGUAAAAUGAACUUGUUCAAUGGGAAUUAAAACUGAUUCAUUGGGAUAUAAUUCAAAACUGACCUUCUCUAGUAACGUUUCAUCUAUUGUUUCAAGAUAUUUGUCAGAUGCGCUUAAAACAUCGAGUCCAUGUUUGCUCAAUAAUUCGAUAAUCGCCAAGGUUCGAGGAAGUGUUUAUUUUCGAUCGAAUAUCGAGGUGUUAAUGCACGGAAAGAUGUUGCCGCUCGAGGUGAGAAUUAUAGAAACUUGAGCUAUUCAGGAAAAUUCAUCGACGAUACGUGAUGCUGAGGAGGGAUGUUGAGCUUCUAGGAACGACGAAAUAGUCGAAGUUGUUUGCACGACGUGGCAGACGUUCCAUUAAAGAAUCUCCUCAGUUGGACAUCAACAGCUAUUAUGGUCCGCAAGACAGUUGCAUUAUCGUCACCGAGUGCCAGAUGUUUACAGUUCGAUGGCAAAGUUAAUGGCACCAUUAAUAAGGCUAAUAGGAAGCCGGGUGCGUGCAUCUCGCGUGCUGCGGGUACAAAGGACUAGAAGGCGAUUCAUAAAAAGGUCCAUCACCUCUCCUCGGAACAGUCUCCUGAGACCGGGUUCACCGAAUUAUAAUUCCGCAUUUGUAUUCGUUAAGCCGCUUGGUAGUUAAGUCUACGAAGCCGCGAUGAAUUUCGCAUUACACGCAAUCAAGCCUAGCCAGCCUUAAUUAAUGACCAACGCGCUACGCUUCUCUCGGUGCGCGACUCGAUGAAUAUCGAUGCCCAAAGCGCUAUAAACUGCUUUUUACAGCAUUAUAUCGAUAUUAUUAUAAUACCAGAUGCUGUCGAUACGAUUAAAAUUCAUAAAUUGAUGUGUGUUAUAUACUAUAUCUUAAUAGCUUAUGUUUAUGUUUAAGAUCGCUAAUGAGCGAUCUUUGAUAUGGAUUGAACACAUAAGAAUUAUAUAUACAGAAUGUAACAAAAAUGUCGACUGCUACUUUAAAAUUGUAUUUUAUUUUAUAU